rnacentral:lncRNA from 1 species
UGUUCUUCGUCGUCGUCGUCGGCCGGUGUUUGCUCGGUGGACGCCCUCCAUCUCUUUUCACGGUGGUUAGGUGAUAAAGGUAAUAUAUUUUUUAUUCAAUGGAUUAUGAAGUGAAACAUUGUUGUUGUGUGAUUUUGAUGAUGUUGUGUGAUUUUGAUGUUGUUGUAGAGCCUAUUUUGAUUCAAUUUUAGUUUGAGUUUCGUGUUGAAGGAAGUUUGAAGCUUUUCUUCCUUGAAUGUUGAAUUGUUGGUAUUGUUGUUAUUACUAGACACAUUGAUAUAAAAUUGAUAAAUUUUUUUCACAGUGAUGAAGUUAGAGUAUAUAAAUUGUAUGGUCUAAUCGUUGAACAAACAAGUUUGGUAAUUGUUGGUUUAGGGUUUAGUAGGAAUAUGUGGUUGGGGUGGGCAUGAAGUGGGCAGAAAGUGUGUUAGAUAAAAUUUUUAGAGUCCAUCAGCUUAUUGAGUGUGAUUGUAUAAGUUGGGAGACCAUGAACAUUUAGCAUGUGCUCCAUUUCCUGCAUCUAUUGCAUGUUGAGCUUUGAGGUUGUUGUUAGUAGAGGAUAAUUGUUUGAAACACUUUGCAGGCAAGGCCAAUGGCCAAUGUAAGAAUAUAAUUCCAAAAGCCCAAAUUAAAACAGCUUCGUACAACUAGAUUAAUUGAAAAUAGAACACGAUAGGGUAACCUCAUCAUAAAAACUACACGCAAAUUACUUAUUACCCCAACUAUGUGUUGUGCGCAGAUAUGUAUUAGGUCUUUCAUAUUGUUGACAACCUCCGAAAUUUGUCAAGCAUUGUAGCAUGUAAUAUAUUGGAUGAGAAAAUACAAAGCAUAACAAAUCAAAGGUUUUCUUUAUAGUACUCAACAUUUGACAUACACUUUCAGGUAGAAUUUAAUACCAUACCUGCAAACAUCUCACAUAUGUUUCAGAAAAACCCAAGUCAUUAAGCGAUUGCAACUCCAAAAUCUGUGGAAGUUGGCGCCAUGCUGUCAAUACCCUGAUAAAAAAUAAACAUUACAUUAAACAACUCAAGUGUCAUUGUAAUUGUUUGUUACCUAGAUGUGACAUAGACUGUUCUAAGCAGCAGAUACUUUUUAACCAAUCAUUGUUAUAAAAUGCUCAAAACAGAGGGUGGUUGACAAAAGCGAAUGAGAAUCUGAAUUUGUAAUCUAUAUUUAAGAAAUUACCAUGAGAUGCUCUUAAUUUUGUAUAGCAUGAUUGUAAAAAUAUGAAUGUGUGACUUUGCAUUUUUGUAUGUAUAAAACAUGUUAUUUCUGUGAAGCAGGGCAGCAGAAUGCAACCAAACAUGCCCAUGGGGUAAAAUGUCAUAUUACAAUAAGAUCUUUUUGUUUCCAAUUUUACUGUUAAUGAUUUCCAACAAUACUUUUUUUCCUGUGAUUUUGGCCCUGGUUAUAUAUAGUUGGAUGGCCGUUCAAUAAACCCAAUAAAUAUGAAGAAAAAUAGUUUGCACCAUAUCCUUUCUGUUGAGUUCUUGUUAUCCAUCUAUAUACCGAAAUCACAGUAUGCAGCAUGAGUGUAGGGCAGUGUCCAGUGAUCACAAAUUCACUCAAUUUAGAGGUUUGUUGUAUGUGGUGACCCUAGUAGGAAUAUGUGGUGACCACAUUAGACUUCAUGCACAGUCCCUUUGCAAACUUAUUCUGGAAAUGUGAAGUGUGUGUUGGUGUUGGUUUGGAUGGGCAUGAUGUCGACAGAAAAUGCGUUAGAUCAGAUUUUAGAGUCCAUGAGUGUAAGGCAGUGUCCAGUGAUCACAAAUUCACUCAACUUAGGGCAUUGUUGUAUGUGGUGACCACAUUAUAGUUCCUACACAGUCCCUGUGCAAACUUAUUAUGUAAAUGUGAAGAGCGUGUUAGUGUUGGUUGAGUUGGGCAUGAUGUGGGCAGAAAGUGUAUUAUAUCAGAUUUUGAGAGUCCACGAGUGUAGGGCAGUGUCCAGUGAUCAGAAAUUCACUCAACUUAGAGGAUUGCAGUAUAUGGUGACCAAAGUAGGAACAUGUGGUGACCCACAUUAGACUUCUUGUACACACCCAGUGAAAACUUAAUUCGUGGGAAUCUGUUUUUAGGUGAUGUUCUUUGCAACGGGGUUGUUCAUGGUUGAUCAACUUCAAAAGAAUGGAAGGGCCCAACGUUUUUCCUUUAAUCCUUUUUUUGUUGUGAGUGGACUGUGGAAUUUAAGUUGUUGUUUUCAUAUGUAUACUUUCUAUUAAUAACACUACAUUUUUUGUUGCACAAAGGAUCGUGUUAUUGGAGAAAUGAAAACAACUUCAGAAAAGAAAGAGUGAGACACGAAGGAUUACUGUUCGUUUGCAAAAGAUUUGAUUCCAUUUGAAUCACUAUCAUAUUGCGAUUUUAUAAGUUUGUAUUAUAUAAUUUUCUAUAAUGAUUUUGGGGCAUAAUUUUUUAUGUGUUUAAUUAAGUUACAUUAUUCACUUAUUCAUCCCAACGGUGCACAAUGACCAUUGGUGGGUCUACGCGUUUAAUUUUCAUAGUAGGGAAUUGCAUGUCUUGGACCCCCUCGGCCAUAGAAGGGGAAAACGGGUUAGUAUUUUUGUUAUUUUUAUGAAUAUUCAUAUGUAAAUAUUUUUAUGUGUUUUCCUGUAUGUAGUUAUGAUUGUGGAGUAUUGGUUUAGAAAUAUAUUGAGUUGUGGAAUGGUACGGUUGACUAUGACGGGAAGACGAUGCCUGAAUACAACAACGUACGUAUUUGUUCCCUUCACUAGUAGAGUACAAGUUAUAAGUUUUAUUCUGCACUGAAAAUUGAUUUUCAAAAUUAAUUUCAGGACGAGCUUCAAGCAUUUCGUCAGGAAAUGGAUUUUAAUUGGGUCCUUGAUGCACGUAAUGCAGAACGAGAAAAUUUGUUGAGGGAGUUCAACUUUCGUGGAACAUCAGAAUGAUGGUGGUUGAGAGUGCGUUGCAUGUGAAUCUGCAUGUUCUGCAAUUGUGUAGUUAUUCAUUACAUGUUUUAGUGUAUCCUAGGAGCAUUCAUAACUGUAGAAACAUAAUGGAUUACGUACACUUCCAUUGAGUUGAACAAUGUGCGAACUUUUUAAUGCUAAGAAUUGAAGACGAAUAUUGUUG